rnacentral:rRNA from 1 species
CCUACGGGAGGCAGCAGUGGGGGAUAUUGCACAAUGGGGGGAACCCUGCUGCAUCGACGCCGCGUGGGUGAAGAAGCGCCUCGGCGCGUAAAGCCCUGUCAGCAGGGAAGAAAAUGACGGUACCUGAAGAAGAAGCCCCGGCUAACUACGUGCCAGCAGCCGCGGUAAUACGUAGGGGGCAAGCGUUAUCCGGAUUUCCUGGGGGGAAAGGGGGCGCAGACGGCGAUGCAAGCCAGGAGUGAAAGCCCGGGGCCCAACCCCGGGACUGCUCUUGGAACUGCGUGGCUGGAGUGCAGGAGGGGCAGGCGGAAGUCCUGGUGUAGCGGUGAAAUGCGUAGAUAUCAGGAGGAACACCGGUGGCGAAGGCGGCCUGCUGGACUGCAACUGACGUUGAGGCCCGAAAGCGUGGGGAGCAAACAGGAUUAGAUACCCCUGUAGUC